rnacentral:rRNA from 1 species
UACAGAGGGUGCAAGCGUUGUUCGGAAUUAUUGGGCGUAAAGCGCGUGUAGGCGGCUUUGCAAGUCGGGUGUGAAAGCCCUCGGCUCAACCGAGGAAGUGCGCCCGAAACUGCAGAGCUUGAGUACCGGAGAGGAUGGCGGAAUUCCCCAAGUAGAGGUGAAAUUCGUAGAUAUGGGGAGGAACACCGGUGGCGAAGGCGGCCAUCUGGACGGAUACUGACGCUGAGACGCGAAAGCGUGGGGAGCAAACA